UCAUUAAAACUCAUCACAAAAAAGUGCAUUUUUCACUUGAACUUAAUUUGAAUUUGGAGGGAAAAAGAUGAAUUUGAAAACUAGGCCUUGGCUUCACAUAAUUCCACUUGCAUUUGCCUCCAAAGUGAUUUUCUGAGGUGAAUUGAAGCUAAAACCUGCAUUGUUACAUUGAAUCACAUGUGAAGGGUGAAUUGGCCAAUUUGCUAAUGUGCACAAAACUUGACAUCACUUAAUCUUUUCGUAAAUGUGAUUAGUACUAAUCGUUGUAGUAAUCGUAGUGUAAUAAAAGCUAAAUCAUAACUGUUUCAUUGCUAAUCAUAACAGAAUUGAGAUCUAGAUCUAGAAAUCCAAAAAUUCUUUAACUUCUUCUUUCAACUUUUCUCAAAAAUUCUCCAAAAACCUUGCAUUGAUCUUGAUACAUUCUUCAUCCAUGAGCAUAAUGGAAGCUAUUUGAAGCAAGAAUCCUCCAUUUUCAUGCUGUUUCAAGAACUGUAGCAUCAAGCUUCUUCAAUGGCAAUUCGAGUUUUCAGCUAGAUCCUUCACAAUCAACAUCAAAGCCUUGCUUCAUUCACUCAUACAAGCACUAAAGGACUUCUGUUUUGCAUUGCCAGGCCUUGAAACAACCUAUUUCACUUCUGCACAUCCUUGAAGGUUAGUUUUCGAGCAUCAUGAUUCUUGAAAUUGAUUGAAGUAACAUGUAGAUCUUUCUUAGUAGAGCAAACUGCAAUUUGUUUCAUGGAUUUUCAUCAAGAAUUGAGGAAGUUACAUGGAUUAGAAGUUUGAUACAUGAAUAUGUUUGUCUUCGAAACUUUGAAACUAGGAAGAAUUAAGCCAAAUUGAUUUGAGAUUCUGAUGUACGUUGAAAGAAGGAUUCUAGUGAUAUAUAUUUCAUGAAUUUCUGAGCCCAAUUGUCUUGAGCCUAGGUGUUUAUGAUGAACAUGGAAUGAAUGUUUGAAAAUCGUUUCCAGAAUCGUGUAGAUCCUUCGCUGGCCUGUUUUUGUAUGUUUUCUCGUGUUUUGCUCCAUGCAGCCAAUAGCAUCACGCCACUCACUUAUGAAACAAUGUUGUUUCAUUAAGUGGCGCGCUCAUUUGAAUUGGUCGUGUUUCGAUCCUCCGGCUCAGGACAUUUCCAGUUUUGCUUUUGCAUUUUUCUCAUAUGCCAUGCCAUGCCCAUGCCUUCCAUCCAUUUUUUAUUUUUUUAUCACAUUCCAAAAUCAUAUCUCAAUGGAAUGAUGAUCCAAAUUUGGCUGAAUUUUUUGCACAAUGAUCCUCACAGACUCUACUAUUUUUGAUUAUUUUUACAAAAAUUGUGCACAUUGUGGAUUUUUAAUGUGGCCUAGGUUGUUCAUACAUGGUGUUUGCUUGCACCUUGCUUAGUAUUUUGGUUGUGAAAUGAUGAUGCUUAACCAAUUCUUGAAUUUUUGCAUGCACAAACAGAGGAUCCUAAGUGACAUUUUGGCUUAGAGUUUGUGAUUUUUGCUUCCUUGGUUAUGAGAGUAGUGAGCUGUUGAAUCUAGGUGUGACAAUGUGUGUCACACCAUUUCUUGUCCAACUUGUGGAUUUUCAUUACCAUGCCAUAUGAACUUGAAUUGAUCUGAAUUUUUGCAUUUUGACUCUUCUGGAUGUUAAGUUUGAUCAUGAGUUUUUGUGGAAUUUUUGGAUGCAUUUCCAAUUUGUUUGAGAAUUUCCUUUCUGUUUGACCAUUUGUGGACCUUUUGUGAGUCAUGAUCUUAAAUGAUUUGUGAAAUUCUUGAUAUGUAUUGGAUGAACUUGAAACUUUGUGGAGUGAUUCUAGACUCUUUAAAGUUUGCCAUGGCUUUGGUUUGAUUCAUUUAUCUGGUGCCAAUUCUGUUUUGUGCUUGCUUGAAGUUGAUGCAUGAUUUUGUGCCUUGUAUGAGCUUGUUUUGCCUUGCCUUGACUUAGGAAUUUUAUUUGACUUGUUUCCCUUUGUCCAAUUGACUUGAAUUUUGGUGUGAUAAUCAUGUGAUGAGUUCUGUUUAGCCAUGAUUUUUCUUGAGAUUUAUUGAAUUAUUUUUGAUUGGAUUUGGAUUGAUUCAUUCUGUUUGGUCCAAUGAGCUUUCAAAUUGCACAAUUUGCCUUAGAUGCUUUGUGAAAUGAAAUUGGUGUAUGAUAUGAAUGUGAGACCACUUGGACAUUGUUCUAAAUGAACUUGAUUUGUGCCAAUUUUCAUGUUCUGUUUUGAAUUAUUUCUCCCUCUUUGACCCUAGGCCUUGUCCUAGGGGUUUGCUUCUUAUGUUUGAGUUGUGUUUUCAGGACAAAAAGCAUAUGGCAAUGAGGAGUUGAUUCACAUGGCUUGAGUUCACCAAUUGGUCAAUGUUGAACUAAUCUUGAGUUUGUUUUGUAGGUGGCUUCUAAGUCAUUUGAGUUGAGCUUGUGCUUGUACUUGUUGCUUGCUUAUUGCUUGUGUACAGUUAACUGUUGACUUGUAAUUGUCUGUUUGACUGUUUGAGCUGUGUACUGACUGAAUUAGAUUGUUUUCAGGUACAUUAGUUGCUUAAGUUCUUUGAACUUGCUUUUGCUGUUGCUUGGUUGCUUAACCAAUUGAGGUAUAGCUCACUAACUCCAUGUAGUCUGGAAGACCUGGCCUGUUAUUUGGUCAGGCACCUGUCUGAAGUCCUUCUUAAGAGGCAAUGCUUGUGAUUGUUUAUCUUUGUCCCCAAGCAGGAAAAGACCUUUGUUAAGGCAAUUGGCAGACACAAGAGAUGUGCAAUCCAUCUCCUGCUAUUCAGUUGAGUCAUCCCUCUGCUCACACCACUGUGUUGAUGCAUUGUGGAUAGUAACCCAAGAUCCUUGUACAGUUGUCCAGUUGAGUCAGUCAUAAGUGUAAAAGGGUUCCCACUUUCUGAACCCACACUUCCUUUGUCUGAAGCUCUCCCUGGCCAGGGAUAAGAGCUGUGAGGCACACCCCUCACUUCCUAUUUCAUCCGCUUCACCCUAACUCUCAAUGUUAGGGUUAAGAGCUAACAUCACCCCGAUACAGUUGGCUUGCUUUUGCAGCCUAACCCUUGUGUGAGCCCACCUUUGUCUGUAUAUAGUGUGUGCUAAUUGUGUAUGUUUGCUUUGUUUUGAUUGUGCUUGCAUGCUUUGGUCUGCCUGGUUAGGAUUAGCUUGCAGCUUGUGCAAGAUAGAUAGAAAACUCAACCUAGGACCAUUGUGGAAUACAUGAUAACUAUUAGGCUCGAGUCAGUCUCCCUUCUAGUUGGUCAUUUCCCAGUCUCUAGUUAGGAGAAAGUUUCUCCCCUGUUAAGGGGAACUAUGUUGCCCUGAUCCUCAUACCAGAUGAGGUACGUAGGCAGGAGGUCGUACGAGAUCUCUCCGGGCACCCUUUUCUUUUUUUUAGUGUGUUGUGCUUGACAGCUAUCAGGCUCGAGUUCCCGACUCCCUGUUAGUCUGUGUGUUCACCCUUUUUCUUUUUGUGUGUGUUUGCUUGACAGUUGCUAGGCUCGAGUGCCAAACUCCUUAGUAACUUGUUGUGUGUUAUCCUUCUUUUGUGUUAGAAGAUGGAUGUAAGCCCAGCGAUUGGCAUUCCGUAUCCUUUUGUUGUGUGCUUGGAGUCCGAUAUAAGUCCAUCAAGUGGCAUUUGGUUUCCAGUGUGGGUUUGUUUGGUUCGGAAGCUGAUGUAAGUCCAGCGAUUGGCGUUCGGGUUCCAUGUUUGCCUGUUUGCGUGUGUUUUGUUUGGCGUGCGUGAGCCGAACUACAGUAGCUCUGAUUCUCAUUCCAGACGAGAUACGUAGGCAUAGGAUGCGAUAUCCUAGCGAGCCCUCUUCCCCCUUUUCCCACCUGUGUUGUUUUCAGUGUGUGUGUGUGUGUGUGUGAUGUUUGUUUUAGCAACCUUUUCCUAUCUUUUUGAGCGUGGAUCCCGUCGAGUACGACGGAUGCGUAGGGGUGCUAAUACCUUCCCUUCGCAUAACCGACUCCCGAUCCCAUUCUCUUUGGUCGCGAGACCAUGUCUUUCCCAGGUUUACUUCGAGCGUUUCCUUUCCCUUUUUGGGAUAAAUAACGCACGGUGGCGGCUCUGUGUUGUUUUGUUUUAGCCCGCCGGUUGUUUUUCGCGGAUGCGACAGAUUUCCAGGAAAGUACCGAGUUUUUAACGCCAAUCUAAUCAGAAGAUCCUUUGUUGAAAUGCACGCUACUUUAUGCGAAUUGAGAUAUUAUAAGCAUGACCGUGCUUCUUGCCAUGUUUGUUCCAGAGAUCCCCGAGGGUGUGUUACUGUGAAAAGAGACUUACAAGAGAUGAUGGAUCAGAACCUUAUUCAGGUUAUGAGGGAUAUAAAUGAAGAAGGGCAUGGGGUAAACGUCAUAGUUCCCUGUUUUAAUCUCCCAGAGUCGGUUGUGAUUGCGCAUGAUGGUCAAAAGACUGUUGUUUCUCCGUUGGUUAUUCGUUUGGCGGGCCCUACGCCUUAUGAGUCUGAUAAAGUUGUUCCUUACAAAUAUAAUGCUACUAUGGUAGAAGACGACAAAGAAGUGCCUAUUCCUGCUUUUCCAUCCGUUGUAAAUAUUGCCAAUGUAGGUGGUGUGACCCAAAGUGGUCAGAUAUUUGCUGCUGUAGCUCCUAAGAGGUCUGAAGAUGUGGUGAUAGAGAAAUCAAGUCAAGAGAAAACUCUUGUUGUACAAAUCGUCCAAUCCAGUAUUGUGAAUCAAAAUGUUGAUCAAGAUGAGGUGUUGAAAUUGUUCAAGAAGAGUGAUUUCAAUAUGGUAGAUCAGUUGUUACACACUUCGUCCAAGAUACUCAUGUUAUCCCUACUGAUGAGUUCGAAAGCACACCGAGAAGCUUUGCAGAAAGUCCUAGAGUAGGCCUAUGUGGACCAUGAUGUGACAAUUAAUCAAUUUGAUGGCAUUCUGGCCAAUACUAUCGCAUGUAACAAUUUGAGCUUCAGUGAUGAAGAGCUGCCAGAGCAGGGGAGGAAUCACAAUUUGGCCCUACAUAUCUCUAUGAAUUAUCAAGAAGAUGCUCUGUCCAAUAUGUUGGUGGAUACUGGAUCCUUUUUGAAUGUUCUGCCUAAGUCCAUGUUAUCUAAACUUGCUUACGAAGGUGCUCCGAUGAGAUUCAGUGGAGUUGUUGUGAAGGCCUUUGAUGGCUUGAGGAAGAUUGUAAUUGGGGAGGUUGAUCUCCCAAUAAAGGUAGGACCGUGCUUAUUUCAGAUCACUUUUCAAGUGAUGGAUAUUCAUCCCGCCUACAGUUGUCUCUUAGGACGUCCGUGGAUUCAUGAGGCCGGGGCAGUUAGGUCAACUUUACACCAGAAGUUGAAGUUUGUGAAGAAUGGGAAGUUAGUGAUCGUGGGUGGUGAGCAGGCCAUGUUGGUGAGUCAUCUCUCUUCAUUUUCGUACAUUGAUGUCGACGAAGCUGAGGGUACACUGCUUCAAGCUCUUUCCGUUGAUAAUAUCGUUGUUAAGAAGAAUGGUGAAUCCAUGUCAUCCUUAAAAGAUGCCCAAUUUGUGGUAGAGAAUGGUUAGUCUGCUAGAUGGGAACAUAUUAUUGAGCUUGCUGAGAACAAGAACAUAGAUGGUUUGGGUUUUUCACCUGGUACAACAUGAAGAGAUCUGAAGCAAAUUCAAGAAGUGUUUCACAGUGCUGGAUUUAUUCAUUCUAAGGAUCAGUCUGCUACCACAAUCUUAGAAGACGAUGAAGAGCAACAAGUGCCAGAAUUUUUGACACGUGGAUCGAUGUGCUAGAUUUGGAUUGCUGUUGAUGUUCCUUCUUUUAUUCACUUGUCGAAGUAAUAUGUUUUUUUUGUUAUUUUCAAAAUUCUUUCACUAUGCCCAAGGUGAAAGUGAAUCUAUGUGGGUUUUGUUUCAAAUUUCAUUAUCAUUAAUAAAAUGUUAUUUCGUAUACCCAUAUUAUGUUUUUUCUUUUUUCCUUUUUCUAUAAAAAUGGUAACAUAUAAAAAAAAUAAUAAUCACUUUUAUAUUUGCAUCACAAUGUGCGUUUAUUUGUUCAUAUUCUAAAAUCAAGCAUAAAAUUAUUGUGCUAAUUAAUUAUUAAACCCAUUGAAAACAAUGAUCAUAUGCCCUCUCCCAACUUUGAGUUUCCUGUGUUCGAAAUGGAAUAAGAGGAUGGUGAAGAGAUUCCUGAUGAGAUUUCUCGGUUGCUUGAGCACGAAGAGAAGACCAUUCAGCCUCAUAAAGAUCCGUUGGAAGUGAUUAAUCUGGGUUCCGAAGAUAAAAAGAAGGAAUUUGAGAUUGGGGCACUGCUUUGUCCAGAUGUUAAGAAGAGGAUGAUAGAGAUUCUUAGAGAUUAUGUGGAUGUGUUUUCUUGGUCUUAUCAAGAAAUGUCAGGUCUUGAUACUGGUAUUAUGGAGCAUCGAUUUCUAUUAAAGCCAUAGUGUCCGCCGGUUAAGCAGAAGUUAAGAAGAACUCGCCCUGAUAUGGAUGUCAAGAUUAAAGAACAAGUUCAAAAGGAGAUUGAUGUUAUGUUCCUUGUUACCGCUUGUCGCUACCGGGAUUUCACGAUAACGAAACCGGGACUAAAGAGAUGCCAAAGAGAGGCAAAGUCAGAAGAGUCGCCACCGAAUUUUAUUCAGUUUACCUCUAUCGGAGAGGAGAGGGGAAAUAGUCGAUAAAACCCUCGGAAAAGAGACGUGCAUGGGAAGUGCUAAAAGAGAAUAAGGAAUCGGUCUCGCAACCGAGAUUUGGGUUCGGAAGUCGGUUACGUAAGGGGAAGGUAUUAGCACCCCUUACGUCCAUGUACCCAUGGAACCUUUGGGUUGUUUAACAUACAUGAGAUUUAUCUAUUUUUUUUUAUUUUCAAAAAGAAUGUGUGAAAAAAGAAGGGGGUGUUUUUGUUAUUAUAGUGCUCGCCAAGGAUUGUGGCCCUUGUGCCUACGUAUCACUCAUUCGGGGAUGAGGAAUCAGAGCUCCGUAGUUCGGAGUAGAAAAUGUUUGUGUUGGUUGAUUUUACCUUUGAAAAAAGGGUUUUCGGGAUGAUGCCCUAAGGCACAAAAAUGAGUUUGAUGAGUUGUAUUGUUUUUACCUUGAAUAAGGGUUUUAUGAAAGAAUGUUUGUGAUUAUUUUGUACUAAAGUCUAUAGGCAGAGGUGAUUAUUCUAGACAACAAGUCAUGCGUCUUGCGUCCAAAAUAAUCAGAGUAAGGGUAGGAAUGCUCCAUUCUCACUCAUUCUCCAGCACUUAAGGCUCGUGGUGCACAAUAAUAAUCGUAAUUAUUAAGUGUUUUGAAUUUGAUUAUAAAAAUGCCACUUGACGUUGAAUCAAGGGUUCGUUUUAUUUUGAUUAUGAAAUUUGGCUUAUGCAACAUGAAUGCAAAGUAACCAAUAAGAAAUUAAAGAGUCUCAUUGUAAGGUAGCCCGAGAGAAAGCCUUUUGUGUGCAAAAGUGACCUAAGCUAAACAAAGGAUAAUGGUCUUACAAACAUGUCCCCCUAAGGUGGUGCCAUGAUGCCAUUCUUACAACAUGCAUGUAAGUUACGAAUGAAAAUCCAAAUAUUUAUAAAGUAUCACAAAGAGUAAAGGAAGGCUUCCAAGCAAAGACCCUAAGAUGAAAUCCUCUAAGUCCAAAUUGAUUAAGAGUGGAGUGAAUAUUUUUUGGUCUUACCAUUUUAUCAUGUUUGUAUGAUGACAAUAAAAUAAAUAACAAGUAAAUAAACAUGCAUGAUGAGUUUGUACAAUGAUGAUGAUAAUGAGUACUUGAAUGUAAAUUACAAGGUAAUGACAUAAAAGUAAAUCACAAGAUAAAGUAAAUGAUAAUAUCACAAUAAUAAUGGUUAGUGAAUGUAAAUGAACAAUAAAACAAAUUGCAAGGUAGUAAAGUGCAAUAAUGUAAAUGUUAGGAGUUGUAGUUAGUAGUUAGUGGUUAGUAGAAUAACAAUAAGCAAAGAGAAUCACAAAUUAAUGUAAAGAAAUGGUUUCAUCUAUGUAUCAAAUGGCCCAUUGUGGUUGAAAUAGAGGCUAUUCUAUGUCAAAUGCCUUCAAAAGUAUCAUGAAUGAUCUAUUGAUCAACCAUUAAUAGGUUUGAAGUAUUGAAGAUUUAAUCAACUCUAAACAACCAUGGUCAUGAUCUAAUAGAACUCAUCAACCAAAUAAAUGUAACAAGUCAACAAUAAAUAUUAAAUGAUAACAAGAAACAAUGUAAAGGAAAUGGUUUCAUAUAUGUAUCAAAUAACCCAAACAUGGUUGAAAUAAAGGCAACCUAUCAAUGCCUCAAAGUAUUAUGAAGGAUCUAUUGAUCAAUCAUUAAUAGAUUUGAAACAUUGAAGGUUUUAUCAACUCUAAACAACCAUGGUCAUGAUCUAAUAGAACUCAUCAACCAAAUAAAUGUAACAACAAGUCAACAAUAAAUAUUAAAUGAUAACAAGAAACAAGGUUUGAUUGAAAAUGGUGGAUAAAAAGUAGUAAGAGCAAAAAAUCCCCAAAAGGGUGUAAACCUAACAAAAAACACUUGUCUCAAAGUUGACUCAAAUCUCUCUCAAAACACAACCGAAGAGUAAAAACCCAUUUCCAAACACAAAACAAAACCAAAAAAUGUCAAGGAGUUUGAGUCCAAAAUAUUACCAAGAUUGUGGUGUCAAGACUAGGUUGUUGUUGUGUUUGGGUUUGAGAGUGAAGCAAAAAGCUUUGAAGAGGGUGGCUAUGGUUGUUAUGGUAGAAAAAUGGAAGAAAAGGAAGGUGUAUGUUUAUAUGGUGAUGGUGAAUGAUUAUGUGAGUGAUGGUUAGAAGUUUGCUACUAUUGUUGUUGUGUGGAAAUGGUGGAUUUUUUACAUGAUGGUUGGGUGGUUCAAAGAAGAAAAGAGGGUUUGGGUGAGUUAGGGUUUAGGUUGAAAAGAGGGAGCUUGAAGGUGAUUUGGGCAGAGGUUUUGUGGCUUUCAAGCUUGAAAAUGAGUGGGGAUAGUGCUCUAUUUAUAGGGGAAGCAAAAGGGUUGAAGGGGGUGAACCAAAAGGUCAUCUGGGUAAAAAAUAGAGCCAUUUCUGGUGUCUGCACAGGUGUAAUCGGUUACCCUGAUUAGGGUUAUAGGUUACACAGUACCAAAAUGGCCAAAAAAUCAGUUUUUGGUCUGGGUAAUCGGUUACCCUGAUUAUGGUAACCGGUUACCAAUUUUUUUUAUUUAUAGAAAUGAUGAAUGUAUGCAUGUGCAGUAGGGUCAUGGAUCAGAUGAAAAUCAUAUAGGGGUAGGGUGAAUUUUGGGAAAUGACACCACUGAGUAUCCCCUGUGGGUGGCUAACAUUGUACGCGUUCCAAAUAAAGAUGGUAAAGUUCGGAUGUGUGUUGAUUAUAGAGACUUGAACAAAGCUAGUUCGAAAGAUGAUUUUCCUCUGCCGCACAUUGACAUGUUGGUAGAUAAUACGACUAAGUUCAAUGUCUUCUCCUUUAUGAAUGAGUUCUCUGGUUAUAAUCAGAUCAAGAUGGCCCCGAAGACAUGGAAAAGACAACAUUGAUCACACCUUGGGGAACAUUCUGCUAUAGAGUGAUGCCUUUCGGUUUAAAGAAUUUUGGUGCAACGUACCAAAGAGCUAUGGCUACUCUUUUCCUUGACAUGAUGCACAAAGAAAUAGAAGUUUAUGUUGAUGAUAUGAUUGCUAAGUUGAAGACUGAAGAAGAUCAUGUUGAGUAUUUGUUGAAGUUGUUUCAGCGGUUGAGAAAGUUUAAACUCCGGUUGUGUUGUACCCCAAAAUUUGCCCUCCCCUUUUCAUCUUUUCAUUCAAUAUUUGAUUUAGGAAUCACAUGCAUACAUUCAUACCUCACUCAUAUGCAUCAUUCAUCCAUUAGUUGAUCACUAUAGAUUCAAAUCUCUUGGCUUGCAAAGCUAGGGUUUGUGUUGGGAUUAGACCUUCAAAGUAUGGCUUGGCUAUUCCUCAGGUCUUAGGGGAUGUAAAACCCUAAUUUUCUGAUUUUGGAGGUGUGGAUUCAACAAGGUUUCAUCAAGGCAAUCCUCAGGGUUUUCAAACCCUAAUUCUUGAUGAUAUAAUGAUAGAGUCUCAUGGAGUUUCUCUGGGCCUUGUCUUGGCUAUCAGAACCCUAAUUGGGGAGGUUCAUUCAUUGAAGUCUUGCUUGUGAAGCAUCAUGUUUGAUUCAAAGACCUUGGUUGAAGGGCAUACUUCAUGUAAUUGUAAUCUAGGAGGAUUUGGUCCUAAGGCUUGACUUUUCAUCUGGAUCACCCUCAUGCCUAGUCCCUAGCCCAUGGCUUGAUCAUGCCUUGCUUGGGCCCAUUUCAUCUGAUCAUCUCAAGUAUAUGGUCCACUCUUGGUUUGUUUUCAUCUGCUCAUUGGUCACGAAUCCACUUCAUAUUAUUUUCAAUGCCUUGGUGUUAUGACCAUGGAUUGUUGGUGCGUUCAUGGCAUUGUCUAUUCAAGUAACUAAAACCUAGUGUGAUUCAAUUCAAGUGGUGGUCAUGUCCUUUGAUUCAUGAUUAAUGAUUCAUUCAAGUCAUAACCUUGUAUCAACCAUGUUAAUAUGACCAAUCCAAGGCAUGUCUAUAGUUCACCUCAAUAUAUUGCAAUCCAUUUACAAGUUAAUAUAUUCAAUGUUCAUGUUAAUUCAAAUGACAAAUUCAAGUCAUUAAAGUUCAUAUAAGAUUUCACUCAUAAACAUCAAUUUCUAUUCAAAUAACCAUUUACCAUUCAUUACAUGAAAAAUCACAAAUUUUGGCAACUUUGACCAAGUGUUGACUUUAGUCAACUUUGACCAAAGUCAACUCAUCCCUUUUUGGCCAACUAAGACUUAAUCCCAUCCAUCUUUCCUUGGUUUAUCAUCCAAAAGUCAUGUUGGUUUGCUUUUACCAUGUUUCUUCAUUUACAAGUAACAUUGCCCAUGUUCAAGAUCAUGUCCACCAAGCCUACAAAUUCAACCAAUGUCAUAAUCAUGCAUUAGCACAUUGCCAUAAAUUUCAAACAGAAGCAAGUCACAUGUUCAAUGAAUUCAGAUACAUAUUAAUGUCUAGCAUAAAUGUUCACCUACCAUUCAUCCAAACAUGAUCUCAUGGCAUACCAUUUACAAGCAAUCAUGCAACACAUAUAACAAACUCAGGUGUGCAAAACAGAAUAGAACCAUGAAUACCUGCUGCAACAUAGCUUGGCCAAGGUACAACACCAACAAACUAUCCUGCUACACUAGUUACACGACCAUUGAUUGGACAUGAAAAAUUGGCACAAGACUUGCUAACCUUUACCAAGGCACCAUGACUUGAAACCUGCAGCCAACACACCUGGAGCCUUGGUCCUGCAGCAAACCUACAAAACCAUACAAAACUCCUAAUAGAUGACCUGCACACAAACAUACCAAACUAGCUCAACCAUUGUUCUUACAACAAGUCAGCCUAUGUAUGUACCAUACCUUUCCAUCAUCACUGCAAAAUGAAAUAAUCUGCAACAGUCCAUAACACUUCAAUUACUUCCAACUCAGCUAAACACCAUUAAAACCAAACAGAUAGCAACACACAUGGUACAAACCUGCUGCAAUGAAUUAGGCAAACCAUAAGCCAAAACCAAUUCAGAAUUGCAUUGGAACAAAGCCAUGACAGAACCUUACAUACCUGCAUCAAUGCACAGUGGCCUUGCUUGUUGCAACAAACCAAUAUUGGAUAUGAUUGAGGAAAACCAUACCUAUAAAUGGAAAUCAUACUGCAAGUACAGGCGUGACUAACUUGAUAAAACAAUGCACAUGGACUCUAGCUUUGAACUCACCAGGACAUUAGCAAAAUCUACAUCAGUUCACAAGCCUUGCACGGUGAUGACAAAUUUCAUUGAAAAGAAGUAGGUUCUUCUCUCCAGAUUGUCUUAGUAGUGACUGUGUGGAAGGCUACAGAUAAGGCGAAGUUCUUCUCAAAUCUUCAGAUAAUUCAUCGCUCAAGCAAUUGGUAGGAUCAAGAGGUUGAUUACUACACACGAAUGCAUGGAGAAGAUUAGUGAUAUUGGAAGAUUCAAGAAGUGUUAAUCGAGUAGAGAUUACGUAGAAUAGUUUAGAAUUACGCUAUAUACAAGUCAAGAUCCAAAUGGGAGAUUUUAAUUUUCUCAGCAUUAUUGUGGAUUUGUGAUUGUAUGAACUCUUGCAAAUAUUUGUCAAAUAAAAAGGAAGAAUGUAGGCUCUAAUGGAAAACCAUUAAAGAGUGCACAUAGGAAAAGCAAGGAGGAACGUCGAAGCUCUAUAUAUAUCGGUGUCAUCUCUCUCUCUCUCUCUCUCUCUCUCUCUCUCUCUCUUUCUCUUUCUCUCUCUCUCUCUCUCUCUCUCUCUCUCUCUCNCUCUCACACACACACACACACACACACACACACACACACACACACACACUCACUCUUGCAUUUAAUUUUCGUAGUAUUUGCAUGUUUAGGUAUUUCAUUUCUAGCGUUGUUUAUCGUUUAUUCAAUUAGUAACGAUUUAUUACGUAAGCUUAGGUUUCGUAAGAAUAGAAUACUUUAUCGAGCUAAAUUGGUGAUUAAAUUCUAAGAAAAGAUUGAGGUUAUAAUUCACUAUAUUUAAUCGUUGUAUAAACACACCUCGUGGAUUAUACAACUGAAUUAAUUGAAUACCUUGUGUAUCAUCAUAUUCAUCUUUGGUGUUUGUGAAUUGAUUUAGUGCUAAUGUGAUCAAAUUUUGAAAAGUAGAAUUUUUAUAUUUUCGCUUACAACCUUCCGCUUGCACCUUUUAAAAAAUCUCUGAUAUGUUUUGAAAAAGAGGUUGAUUUUUUAUUUGGGUAUAUUCACCCCCUCUAGGUCAUUUUUAUACUUCUAUAUUCACACUCAGCACUUACAUUAAAUGAAAGUAAGUGUGACAAGCUUAGUCAAUGAUUGACAUUCCCAAUUGAUAAUUUAUAGCUAAUCACAUACACCUCUAGAUCAGAUGAUAAAGAGUGAGGAUGAUAACAUUAUUUUUAUACGUCACAAGUUCUCAUAUUGAAUGAUACACUACUACAAAUAAUACAUUUUAUUAUGAAAGUUUCACUUCAUCCAACAAAAAACCAAGGUGUAUACCAUAAACGCAUCACAUUUUUUUAAAAUAUCAUAUAUUUCCUCGUUUGAGUUGGAAAUUGAGGGGUAAAACAUUUAGAGGACACAUAUUCAAAUCCAAACAACUACAUUUUAACACUUUUUUAUUUAUUUUUAAAAUAAUAUUUAUGACAUAUUACCUUGGUUUUGCUGAAAAUUGAGGGAUAAAGUAUUUAGAUGAUACAUCUUCGAAUCCCAUCAACUACAUUUUAUCACCUUUUAAUUUUAAUUUUAAUUUUUUUUAUGACCUAUUACCUCGGUUUGCUGAAAACCGAAGGGUAAAGUAGCAUAUUUUGUUUUAUUUUUUAUUUAUGACCAAUGUGAUGAAAAAAUCAAGUAACGAAUCUUUGUCGUUCAUUUAUAAAGUAACAACUGUCAAGACAUUGACAAAUCAUCAAUCCACAUGAAAUAUUAGUGAUCCGCGUGAAACUCUCACUAGUCAAUUAAAACGUGAAUGCCACAACUAUCCAUCUUGGAUGCAAUAUGCUGAAAUUUUAACUUAACAUAUUUUAAACAAUGAUAAUAAAAGUAAGAGCUGGAAAAUAUUGUGAAUGCCACAACUAUCCAUCUUGGAUGCAAUAUGCUGAAAUUUUAACUUAACAUAUUUUAAACAAUGAUAAUAAAAGUAAGAGCUGGAAAAUAUUUCUGUAGGAUCAAGGGCUGCACCUAAAGCGAAGUUUGUAAGCUCCCUCUAAGCGCCAUGGGUUGGGAUGUUAAGCCUAUUCGAAUCCCUAAGGGUGACGCUGGAUUUAUUUAUCCAACAAUCUCCCCCCCAGUGUCAACCGGGGGGAUUCGAACCCAUGACCAAGCUCUGAUACCACUUGUAGGAUCAAGCACUUACCACUGAGCUAAAAGCAAUUGCUGUUAGUGAGGGUGCAACUUUAUUUCCUUAUAGUAUGAGCUUUUUCAGGGGCUGCACCUAAAGCGAAGUUUGUAAGCUCCCUCUAAGCGCCAUGGAUUGGGAUGUUAAGCCCAUUCGAAUCCCUAAGGGUGACGCUGGAUUUAUUUAUCCAACAAUUUCAAUGUUGGUUUCUUAAUGUAAUCUUUCUCUAGUAAUUUCUUGUUAAAAAUGUUUUAUAUUAGUUAGAAAAACAUGAAAAUAACCUAUUAAAGUUAAUUGUAGUUGUAUUAAGUAAAAUAUUUAAUAUUGUUGUUAUUGUUGUUGAAAUUUGGUAUUUAACGAUUAUAUUGAUUUUGUUUAUUUGUUGUUCUUGUUGGGAUUUAAUGUUUAAAUAUUCCAUGAAUUUUGUUGUUGUUAUUAUUAUUGUUGUUGAGAUUUAAUGUUUAAGGAUUCUAUUUAUUUUAUUUUUGUUGUUGUUAUUGGUGUUGUUAUUGAUGAUGAGGAGGAAGAUUUAGAAUUUGUCAAUAAAUUUGAUGUUUUACCGAUUAAAACAAAAUAAAAAACAGGUUCGACUUUACCCUUGGUUAGUGUUAAAAACUAAGAUAAAAAAUAGCGCAGUUUUGAAAAUUUAAAAAAAUAUUGUAGCUGAGAAUCGAAUCCAUGACCAGUGUUAAUUUUUUCCUCGAUUAUUCACAAACAGAGGGAUAAAAUGGUAUGUUUUAAUGUCGUUCUUCGUUACUUCACAUAUAUAACCGAUGUUAUAGGUCAUUCAUAUCUAAAUUGGAACAAAAUUAUUUAUAGUAGUGAUAAUAUUACUAAAGUUAUAAGGUAACAGGGAUAAGUCUUUAGUUUCAAAAAUCAUAUUCCUUAUCUAUUCUUUAUUCAUAAGGUAAUAAUUACUAUAUAUAUAUAUAUAAAUAUAUAUAUAUAAUAUAAUAUUAUAUAUAUAUAUAUAUAUAUAUAUAUAUAUAUAUAAUAUAUAUAUAAAUAUAUAAUAAAUAUAAUAUAAUAUUAUAAUAUAUAAUAAAUAUAUAUAAUAUAUAUAUAUAUAUAUAUAUAUAAUAAUAUAUAUUGUUUCUAAAUAGUGUUUAUGAAUUUUCUAAAAUUAUUUAUUUAAUUUUUAAUAUAUUUUGUUAACUUACACAAUUUAGAAAUAAUAUAAAAUAUUCAAAGUAAAUAAUUUAUUGUUUUACAAAAGACAAUUUUAUCAUUUAAAUAUGAUAUAUAUUAUAUCAUACAUAUUAAAAAUAUAAUAUAAUAUAAUAUAAUAAUCUUAUUUAUUAUUAUGUAUACAAAUACAUAAUAGGAAAAACAUUUAUAUUUCACAUAUUUUAUUUUGUUUCUAUCCAACAUUAUACAUUAAAUAUAAAUUAACAAAAUAAAAAGUUAUUAUCACAAAGAGUUGUCUAACUUUUUUUAUGUUCAAUUACACAACUGAUUUCUCGAUACAAGAAAGGGUAAUGUUAACUUGUGCUCCAAUGACACAGGUUAAGAAAUUCACAAAUAAAAAAUUUGUUUUAUAAAAAUAAAUAUAAUUAUUAAUUGUAAGUUUUUAAUAAAUUCAAUCCACAAUUUCCAAAAAUUUAUUUAUAUAUUUAUCUCUUAACUUGUGCCUUUAGGACACAAGUUAUCAUUACCCUACAAAUCUAUAAGUAAAUGACUUCUCUAAGAAAUUAUGCCUUUAGGACACAAGUUAUCAUUACCCUAUAAAUCUACAAGUAAAGGACUUCUCUAAGAAAUAAUCAACUUAACUUAUUAGUAGUAUUUGGUCAAUGGGUCAAUUUAAGAUCUGUAAUCUCAUGAAAUAUAUUUAUUAUUAUCUCCAUUGUUUAUUAUUAUAGAUCAUUUUGUUUUUUAAAUUUAUUAAAUAAUCAAUAUGUUUAGUAUAUAGAUUGACCAAAUAUAUUAUUUAUUUAUUGAAUUAAAAAUGAGUUGUCAUCAAAUAUAGUACUAUUUAUAAAAAGACAAUAUUUUUUAUAAUAUUUGAAUUACCUAAUAUAUUUGAUCUAUUAAAUAAAAAAUUUAUAGUAUUCUUUAAACAGUAUUUGGUCAAUUUGUGAUCCCUAAUUUCAUGAAAUAUAUUUAUUUACUAUCUCUUUAUUUGUGUAUAUUACAGUUGUCAAUGUUUUAAAUAAGAAAUACAACAAAAAUUAAGGUAUGUAUUCAAUAUAAAGAUUAAAUACUUUAAAUUUUUAUUGAAUAAGGAAUGUAUCACCUUUGUUCAUUGUAUGGACAGUAUUUAUGGUUAGUGAAUUGAAUAAUGAAUUAAUUAAGUCUCCUUUGUAAAAGUCGCCCAAUUCAAUGAACUAUUUCAUCUCUCCGCUUAUAUUUAAAUACCAACGCUUAACAACAAACAUUCAUAACAGUUCACACCGACUAGAACGAUAAUGGAAGGAAUAGAACACAGAAUAGUUGAAGUAAAUGGCAUCAAAAUGCAUGUCGCCGAGAAAGGCAAAGAAGGACCGGUUGUCUUGUUCCUUCACGGCUUCCCUGAACUCUGGUACUCAUGGCGCCACCAGAUUGCGGCUCUCGGCUCACUCGGUUACCGCGCUGUGGCUCCCGAUCUCCGCGGCUACGGAGACACCGAAGCUCCCUCUUCGAUUAGCAGCUACACUAUUUUCCAUUUGGUUGGUGAUAUUGUUGCUCUGAUCGACGCACUCGGGGUUGAACAAGUGUUUCUGGUGGCCCAUGAUUGGGGUGCUAUCAUUGGUUGGAAUCUCUGUUUGUUUCGACCUGAGAAAGUGAAAGCUUAUGUGUGUCUCAGUGUUCCUUAUUUACCAAGAAAUCCCAAAAUCAAACCUGUUGAUGGCAUGCGAGCUUUGUUUGGAGAUGAUUAUUAUGUCUGCAGAUUCCAGGUUCGUAUGUCGAUGAUAGUUUAAUCCUAAUUCUUUUUUUUUCACCACUAGUAUCCGGUCCAUUUGAUCGAUUGAUGUCCAUUUGAUCGAUUGAUCUGGUCUGAGAAUCAGUUCUAGCAUCAAAUGGUUACAGUAUAAUGAUCCAAUUUAAAUCCAUGUGAUAGGAACCAGGGAAAAUAGAAGCUGAAUUUGCAAAAGGUACCCCAGAACUGGUGCUCAAGAACAUGCUUACAACAAGGGAUCCUGGGCCACCAAUCAUACCCAAAGAGGGAACGGUUCCUAACCCUCAGAGUCAGGAUUUAAUUUCAAAGCCUCUCCCUUCUUGGCUCUCUCAAGAAGAUCUCAAUUACUAUGCUUCUAAUUUUGAAAACACAGGAUUCACAGGUGGCCUUAACUACUAUAGAAAUCUCAACUUGUAAGUCUUUUUAUCCACCGUUCACUAGCAAUGGUCCAUUUAACGAAAUUCGAACCUGAAAUUUUGAGAGUAGAACACUCUCAGAUCCCAAGCUCAUGUGUAUAUAUAUUAUGUUUACAGAAACUGGGAACUGACAGCAGCAUGGACUGGAGCACAAAUUAAGGUACCGGUGAAGUUCAUCACAGGUGAUUUGGAUUUAGUUUAUGUUUCAAUGGGUACAAAGCAAUACAUUGAGAGUGGUGGUUUCAAGAAAGAUGACUGACAGCAGCAUGGACUGGAGCACAAAUUAAGGUACCGGUGAAGUUCAUCACAGGUGAUUUGGAUUUAGUUUAUGUUUCAAUGGGUACAAAGCAAUACAUUGAGAGUGGUGGUUUCAAGAAAGAUGUACCAAAUUUGGAGGAAGUGGUUAUACAAGAAGGUGUGGCUCAUUUCAACAACCAAGAAGCUGCUGAGGAUGUCAGCAAUCACAUUUAUGAAUUUAUCAAGAAGUUCUGAUCUUAUCGACUCGAUUUGCUGGAAAUUCUUCUCUAGAAGCUAAAUUAAAUCUUCUUUUAAUAAAUAAUGUAGUCACAGUGUAUGCUAAACGCGCCAAUUUGAAGUUACUUGUAAUUGUGGAAGUUUUUUAUCGUUUGGAUGUUAUCAUUUGGCAUCAUAGAAUGUAGUUCUUGUUUU
rnacentral:lncRNA from 1 species